rnacentral:sRNA from 26 species
CGUGAAGGAUAACGUUGCGUCAGCAACGGCCCGUAGGGCAAGGCGAAGCCGAGUCAUCCUGCACGACCCACCA